GCCCCCGUUUCUCUAACGAAACCCCCGUGAGCGCUGGAGCGAGGCAGUUCUCCCUGCCGCUGCUGCUGCUGCCAUCCCCAAUAGUCCCGAAAGAGAGCCUGGCUUGGACUUUGUAUCUUUUUGAUUUUUACUUUUUUCCCCCUUUUUCCUGAAUAAGAGCAGAAAGUGCAGCGGAGGGAUUUAUUGGAGACUGGAAGCCGCCGUGCCGGGGGAUGAGCUCGCAGGCCUGGAGCUCCUGGGAUUUGGAAUUACAGCUGUGGCAACAGAGUAAUCACCCUUGGGACUGAACCAGAGCUGUUGGACACCACUGAGGCCAUUUGGCACUUCUUUUUAGGACUCACAGCAAGUUACUGGUUGCAGCAGUGAGAUCUCAGCUCCCAGGAAUGAGAAACCUCCCUCAAUGAAGACCCCAGCCCUGGGUUUCACAUUGCUCUGAGCCCCUGCCCUCACGCUGGCCGGCCCUGCCCGCCAUGGCCCUGUGUCUCAAGCAAGUCUUCAAC